UCGAGGAUCUUCGGCAAUGGGCGCAAGCCUGACCGAGCGACGCCGCGUGUGGGAUGAAGGCUUUCGGGUUGUAAACCACUGUCAGUGGGGAGGAAAUGCGUGAGGGUACUCCCUCACGUUUGACCUAUCCGCAGAGGAAGUACGGGCUAAGUUCGUGCCAGCAGCCGCGGUAAGACGAACCGUACGAACGUUAUUCGGAAUCACUGGGCUUAAAGGGUGCGUAGGCGGCGCUGAAAGUUGGGUGUGAAAUCCCUCGGCUCAACCGAGGAACUGCAUUCAAAACUACAGUGCUUGAGGGAGAUAGAGGUGAGCGGAACUUAGGGUGGAGCGGUGAAAUGCGUUGAUAUCCUAAGGAACACCCGUGGCGAAAGCGGCUCACUGGGUCUCUUCUGACGCUGAGGCACGAAAGCUAGGGGAGCGAACGG
rnacentral:rRNA from 1 species